UUACAAGCGUUGCACGGCUGUCUUCAGUUAAUGUCGUGAGAUAUUGGUUAAUUCCAUUAAAUUAACGGAAACCCUUGCUUUAUUUGCGAUUUAAUCUAAAUAAAGCAGUUCACCUUUAUAUCGGAUAUGAUAACAGGGACCAAGACAAGUCAUCAUGGCCUAAAUGUUGUGGGCGAUAGACGUGCCACAUAUUCCUAUACAAAAUGAUGCGAUAAUGUGAAUUGGAGCUAAUCUAAUAAAGUAGGAUAAAACAAGGAUUGUAGUCUGAAAUUCGACUACAUGAAUAAGGAAUUACUAGUAAUCGUGAAUCACCACGUCACGGUGGAUUUAAUCUCAGAUAGGUACUAACUACUCGUCAGGCGCCGAAAGAAGUG
rnacentral:rRNA from 1 species